AGUGAACGCUGGCGGUGCGCCUAAAACAUGCAAGUCGAGCGGCAGCGGGGGAGAAGCUUGCUUUUCCUGCCGGCGAGUGGCGAACGGGUGAGUAAUACAUCGGAACGUGCCCUGUAGUGGGGGAUAACUAGUCGAAAGAUUAGCUAAUACCGCAUACGACCUGAGGGUGAAAGUGGGGGACCGCAAGGCCUCAUGCUAUAGGAGCGGCCGAUGUCUGAUUAGCUAGUUGGUGGGGUAAAGGCCUACCAAGGCGACGAUCAGUAGCUGGUCUGAGAGGACGAUCAGCCACACUGGGACUGAGACGCGGCCCAGACUCCUACGGGAGGCAGCAGUGGGGAAUUUUGGACAAUGGGCGAAAGCCUGAUCCAGCAAUGCCGCGUGUGUGAAGAAGGCCUUCGGGUUGUAAAGCACUUUUGUCCGGAAAGAAAUGGCUCUGGUUAAUACCUGGGGUCGAUGACGGUACCGGAAGAAUAAGGACCGGCUAACUACGUGCCAGCCGCCGCCGUAA
rnacentral:rRNA from 1 species